rnacentral:rRNA from 1 species
UACAGAGGUCUCAAGCGUUGUUCGGAUUCAUUGGGCGUAAAGGGUGCGUAGGUGGCGAGGUUAGUCAGGUGUGAAAUCUCGGGGCUCAACCCCGAAACUGCACUUGAUACUGCCUUGCUAGAGUACUGGAGAGGAGAUUGGAAAUUUACGGUGUAGCAGUGAAAUGCGUAGAUAUCGUAAGGAAGACCAGUGGCGAAGGCGAAUCUCUGGACAGUUACUGACACUGAGGCACGAAGGCCAGGGGAGCAAAGCGGGG